GCCCUCCUCCGGAUCGCCCACCCCCCCUCCCCAGGCUCCCCUUCUCACUCUAUGCGCUCGCAGCCCCGGUCGCUCGGUAACCCUCCCCGAGCUGACUGAGCGCCCUGCCCUCCAGACCAAGCUCCGUCCGAUCCUGCUCCACCGAGUCCCAUCCCGGGCCACCCUCCCUGCGCUCGUCCCUUGGCUGGCGAGGGAGGCCGCCUGCCCCUUGAGAGAGAGGCCAUCGGUCCCGGGAGUCGAGCAGGCAGGGUGUGGCCCGGGGUACUGGUCUCGCCCUCGCCUAUUAACCAAGGGUGAGGGGCAUCGGGUGUUCUGAAACUUCCGGAAUGAUGGCUGCCCUCCCCCAGGCGCUCGUGGGCUGGGGUGCGUUUUGUCCUUUCUUUCGGGAAGAGCCACUUUCUUGGAUCCAGCCAGAAAUGGGUCAUAAUGGAAGCCCUGGGCACAUUUCACAUUGCUCCUUAGCACCUCCAGGAGCACUCUGCUCAGAUCCAGAGUCACAGUUACUGGAGGGGCCAGGAAACAAGAAGGAAGAUCCAGCUAACCAGAAAGCUGGACACACCAGCCUCAGUCAGCUGUGAAAAGGAAGUGAAUCCAUACGUGGGCUACUAAGAAAGCGGAGAUGGUUGGCCAACCUGGCGGUAAUAGAGGUGAAAGCUGGAGGACUCUCAGGAGGAGGCAGCUCUCAGAGGCCAAGGUCAGCGCUCACAGGGCUGUCCCUCCUUGCUCAAGUGUUGUUCCAAGGAAGGCUUGUCUGUUCGCCUCAGUCUCUCUUUCUAAACAUUUUUAAAUUAUGGUAAAGUACACAUAACAUAAAACGUACCAUCUUAACUGUUUCUAACUGUUUGGUCCAGUAGUGAGUAUAUUCGUACUGUUGAACAACCUAUCUGCAGAGCUUUCUCAUCUCGCAGAACGCAGCCUCCAUCCCCGUUAUCAGUAAUUCCUCCUCUGCCUUCGCCGCGGCCCAUGACAACCGCCGCUCUACUUUCUGCACCUGUGGCUUUGACUAAGAGCUUCAUACGUAAUGGACACUCAGCAUUCGUCUAUUAGUGACCGCCUUAUUGCACUGAGCAUAAGUCACCCAUGCUGUGGAAUAUAGUACAACUCCCUUCCUUUUCAAAGCUGGGUAAUAUUCCAUUGUAUGGACAGACCACGUCUCAUUUAUCCAGCCAUCUGUCGAUGGGCACUUACCCUACUUCCAUCUUUUGGCCACUGUGAAUAUUCCACUGUGAAGAUGCUUUCCAUUCUUUUGGAUACAUACCCAGAGGCAGAAUCAAUGGACUGCACGGUCGAUUCUCUUUAAGGAGGGAGGCUUCGUGGGAUGUUGUCUGCCAGGCACCCCCGGCUGCCUCUAAAGGUGUGAGCAUGGCCAGAGACGCUGGAAGGCGCCAAGGAGCCUGGGGGGCAGGGGACUUAACACCCUCACGCUUGCAGCAGAUUGUGGCAGGUUCACAGUCCUCUGCCCACAUGGGUCCUGUGUCUCGUGGGCCUCCUUGCAGAUGCAGAGUGGAACUGGAAAGAACCAUGCCCAGGAAACUCACAGACACAGGAAAGGGGGACCCACGUGUCCUUGGCAACUGCUGACAACUGCUAGGAGGCUGGAGACGUUAGUGAGCGGAGUGGGACCCACACACUAUAGUCCUGGUAGAUGUUUGUUGGCUGAAUAAACAAAGGCAGUUCCAAAAUUCUAGAGAGCAAGUUCCACGGAGCCGUGAAAUGAAAAGCUCGUACGUUUACGUGAUGGAAGCUCUGUGCGUGAAUGAAGAUACAGUGGCAUCAGGUUCCUUUCUCUGUAAAGGAAGGAUAUCCGGAGGAAAAGGAAGGUCAGGAACAGU
ensembl:lincRNA